UAAGCGGAGGNAAAGAAACUNACNAGGAUUCCCCUAGUNACUGCGAGUGAAGCGGGAAAAGCUCAAAUUUAAAAUCUGGUGGCCUUUNGUCCAUCCGAGUUGUAAUUUAGAGANGCGUCUUCCGCGCUGGACCGUGCACAAGUCUCCUGGAACGGAGCGUCAUAGAGGGUGAGAAUCCCGUCUUUGGCACGGACACACCAGGGCUUUUGUGAUGCGCUCUCAAAGAGUCGAGUUGUUUGGGAAUGCAGCUCAAAAUGGGUGGUGAACUCCAUCUAAAGCUAAAUAUUGGCGAGAGACCGAUAGCGAACAAGUACCGUGAGGGAAAGAUGAAAAGCACUUUGGAAAGAGAGUGAAACAGUACGUGAAAUUGUUGAAAGGGAAACGCUUGAAGUCAGUCGCGUCGCCCGAGACUCAGCCUUGCCUCGGCUUGGUGUACUUCUCGGCUGACGGGUCAGCAUCAAUUUUGCCCCUUGGAUAAUGGCGAGGGAAAUGUGACACCUUUACGGGUGUGUUAUAGUCUCUCGUCGCAUGCAAGGGUCGGGAUUGAGGAACUCAGCACGCGCCCUCGGGCGUCGGGGCAUCUGCCCACGAUACGUGCUUAGGAUGUUGGCGUAAUGGCUUUAAACGACC
rnacentral:rRNA from 1 species